rnacentral:lncRNA from 1 species
CUCCCAUUCCAUUCAUUUUCACUCCAAGAAAGUGCUAAGGCAAGAAAGUGCUCUCACUCUCUUCUCCCCUCUCCAUUUUCGUCCCUCCACAUCUCCCCCGCUCCCAAGACUCUUCUCCCACCAUUAUCACACUCCAUAGAAGCCCUUGAAGCCCCAAGAGGAGUAUCAAAGCAAGGGAGAGCAUGGUAAAACUAGGGCGUAAAGUUAGAGUGAAGGUUGUGCUUCGAGGGUGAGUUUUCUUUUGUCUUCUCAACUGAAAAUACUUUAAGACCACGGAUUUUUACACAUAUGUGUGCUAUAUUGUGUGAGGAUAUGUUUUAUGGUCUUGGAUGUUUAUUUUGGUAGAGUUUAUUGGGUGAAAAAUCGUGCAUGAGGUAAAGCUGCGAAUCUGCCAUAAGCACACUGCUCCGGCAGUAUUUUGCAAGGCGAUUUCAGCCAUCCAAACGGUGCCUAAAAAUUCCCAAAUUAAUUAUGUAUCAUACUUUAUAUGUUUUCUACACUAUGGUAUAGUUUCAGAAUUUUUAGAGCUCUUAUGAUUUAUUUAUGAAUUGUUAAACAUCACUGCCCGUCUGGAAUGCAUUUCUGGUAAACAAUUUUUGGGAGGCCAUAAGUCCCGUUUCAAUCGGUAAAACCCUUUUAAACAUUAAUAUGAUACUCUAGACUCCCUUAUCUUUCGUUUGAAACUGGCCUCACUAUUUUUGGAUGAGGGAAAUGCCCGGUAUAAUUCUUUGAAAUCUAGUUCUUAUUCUGUGUAUCCUCCAGUAGGUUUUACAAACCUACGACCUUGAGGUGGCGAAGGCCAACCUAAAUCUUUGAUUCUCAAGCCCAUUUUUAUAUUGAAUAUCCAUUGACAUGUUGGGAACUUAUUUGUUCAUUUGUAGAAUUUUUGGUAAAGCCUAAAGUGGUUUUUCUGAAUUAAACUUUGAAUCUGCCGAACUUGAACUCUUUUUGUGCACUGAACUUUGGAUGUUAAUAUCUCCUAAACCAUGAAUCUUCUUGGGGUAAAUUCAACUGGGGAGUGUCACACUCUCUCCCUAGUUUUCAGAUUGACCCUUGGAGUUCCCAGUGGCCUUUUGUAAUGGGAGAUAUGAAGUUUUAAAGAAGGCCCAUUGACUUGGUUCUAAUCUGGAAAUCUGAAAUUUCUAGAUUUUUGCUUGUUAAGUACCCAUCUUUGAGUGGGCAUAUCUUGCUCGUUUGAACUCUGUUUCAUUCGAUUCAAAUUGGAGAAAUCCUUGAAAUGUCUAGUUUCCAGAAUGUCCUUUGUAGCCUCAUUUAGAGAUCCGAGGCAGAAUUGGUGUCUGUUACAAAACAGCCCCUUAAGAGCUCAAGUUGUUGAAUUAUUUUCUAAGUUUGAAAGUUGGUUUUAAAGGAUGUUUCAUGAAAUAUUAUGUAUAUGUGCAUGACGAGUUUGGGAUAUGUUUUGUGCAAAGUUUUCAUGAAAAUGAGUGAGUUAACCUAGAUAAGGCAUCAAGAUAAGAUAACGUAUGUAAAAUGCAUAAUCCCUAGUUCAUUUUGCGUUGUAAGUCCGGGAAUAGGUUGACCUAGAGAUCCCAAGUAGACAACGGUUUUUGUUAUCCAUGAUAUGUGCUAAGAGUUAAGAACUCGUCUUGUAGGUAAUUGGUUCACGAGGACGGUACCACCGCUUAAGAUCACCUCUCUUCCACACUAAGGAUCAGGUGGGCAUUACUUUCACUAUACGUAUAUGAGAUCCCCUGGUUCGUAGGCCUCUUAUACAUGAAUGCAUGAGAUGAUUUAACUGUUAAUUUCGGUUUUAUAUAUAUAUAUAUCUAUCAAACAAGUUUAAUGCUACCGUUUGAACAAGUUAUUUCGUUACAAAAUCUUUGAAUUAAAGUUAUUUCAAGUAUUGUCUUGCCAUAAAAUGUUUCAAUUUUAGUAUGAUAUCUAUCUGCUUUGGCUUUGCCAAUGAUGUAAUCGAAUUCGGGUCUUGAGCAGUUGAUAGCUAUCCUGCCUUGACUAGUGUACACCAAUGACCGUGAGUCAUCUAGCGGGUUGGCCGGUCAAGUGUUCGUGAGAGUGGCCACCUCUCCGACACACAGUUCCAGAUAUGAUAGAAUACAAGAGAACUUAGUCUGCAGACGAACUUUAAGAAUCACAAACGAAUUUAGUAAGCUUGGGCCUAUUUCACAAAAACUCCCUUGCUGUACUGUUUAUGAUGGCAUGACAAUUUACAGUUUUAUGAUGCAUGUAUUUUAUAUUUAGGCAUACGUGCCCACUGAGUACUCUCGUACUCAGCCCUGCAUAUAUUUCUAAAUGUGCAGGUUGAGCAGUGGCUGAUGGAGAUGAAGUGAAGAGCGGAGC